rnacentral:sRNA from 1 species
ACUUUCAGGUUUCAAGCAGUGAACUUUGCUUAGCUGAAUUUGUCACCAAAGAGUGUUCGCCCUUUGUCAAGAGCCUUAACACUGACGAUUUGCCUCCUGACUUUCAAGGGAGCUCAUUCUCUGCAGUCAAACUCUCGAACCUAAAUAUCGUGGGCUUAGUUAAUGACUACUUUGACGCUUCGAACACACUUUAUAAAUGCCCAGGUCUUAGAAUCGAAUGGGAUGCACCGAAAUCAGACGAUUCUUACAAAAACGUGAAGGGCUAUUUGAUACACUGGCAGUAUGAAACAAAUAUAGGAUGUCGUCUGUUCCAUUUCAACUCUUCAAACACUCUCUUGUUACAAAAGGUA